AAAGAAACAGUUCAGCACUAAGUCACUUUGUCAUUUGGCAAAUGUGAGAUGCAGUGUAUGGAAUGUCCAAUUUCUAGUAUGAGAAAUUAACGAUUUAAGUCCUUCUUAAAUGAGCCCAUUUACCCAAAGAGGGUGCCAGGCCCGUAUAACGUUAAUGAUUACUAGAGGAUAUUUCCGAAGAGUCGUGUUGCUUGAUAGUGCAGCACUAAGUGGGUGGUAAACUCCAUCUAAAACUAAAUAUAACCAUGAGACCGAUAGUAAACAAGUACCGUGAGGGAAAGUUGAAAAGAACUCUGAAUAGAGAGUUAAAUAGUACGUGAAACUGCUUAGAGGUUAAGCCCGAUGAACCUAAAUAUCCAUUAUGGGAAAUUCAUCAUUAUGAUUGUAAUAAUUUUAUAUUAUUAUAAUAAUGGUGUGCAUUUUUCCCAUAUAAGGACAUUGUAAUCUAUUAACAUGCAUCAAUUUAUCAAAAGAUCGAUUGCGUAAGUUUAUUCAAAUUAUUUUGCUUGCAAUUUAACAUAGAAUAAAUGCUCUUGAUUGGAUAAAGUGUUGAUAGAUUUAUUAUAUAUAGUGCUUAAAUAUUUUUUUAUUUUAUAAUAGCAUUUUAAUUUAUAAUUUUUAUGCUUAUUAUAUGCACUUAUAUGAUUAACAAUGCGAAAGAUUUAGGAUACCUUCGGGACCCGUCUUGAAACACGGACCAAGGAGUCUAACAUAUUUGCAAGUUAUUGGGAAUUAAAAAACCUAAUAGCGAAAUUAACAUAACUUAUAUAUUGGGAUUAGUUUUUAGUCUAUUUUUUAGUCUAUUAAUUCAAUCCCGGGGCGUUCUAUUCAGUUAUGUAUAAUAAUAUUUAUAUUAUUUAUACCUCUAACUAGAGCGUACCUUGAGCAUAUAUGCUGUGACCCGAAAGAUGGUGAACUAUACUUGAUCAGGUUGAAGUCAGGGGAAACCCUGAUGGAAGACCGAAACAGUUCUGACGUGCAAAUCGAUUGUCAGAAUUGAGUAUAGGGGCGAAAGACCAAUCGAACCAUCUAGUAGCUGGUUCCCUCCGAAGUUUCCCUCAGGAUAGCUGGUGCAUUUAAAAAUUAUGUAAAAUAAUCUUAUCUGGUAAAGCGAAUGAUUAGAGGCCUUAGGGUCGAAACGACCUUAACCUAUUCUCAAACUUUAAAUGGGUAAGAACCUCACCUUUCUUGUUAUGAAGGUUGUGGUUGUGAUAUAAUGUGCCCAGUGGGCCACUUUUGGUAAGCAGAACUGGCGCUGUGGGAUGAACCAAACGUAAUGUUACGGUGCCCAAAUUAACAACUCAUGCAGAUACCAUGAAAGGCGUUGGUUGCUUAAAACAGCAGGACGGUGGACAUGGAAGUCGUAAUCCGCUAAGGAGUGUGUAACAACUCACCUGCCGAAGCAACUAGCCCUUAAAAUGGAUGGCGCUUAAGUUGUAUACCUAUACAUUACCGCUAAAGUAAAUGGUUUAUAUUCAAUUUCGGUUGGAUUUUAAACUUUGAAACUUUAGUGAGUAGGAGGGUACAAUGGUGUGCUUAGAAGUGUUUGGCGUAAGCCUGCAUGGAGCCGCUAUUGGUACAGAUCUUGGGUGGUAGUAGCAAAUAAUCGAAUGAGAUCUUGGAGGACUGAAGUGGAGAAGGGUUUCGUGUGAACAGUGGUUGAUCACGAGUUAGUCGGUCCUAAGUUCAAGGCGAAAGCCGAAAAUUUUCAAGUUAUAAUGAGCGAUCUAAGUUUAUCCUAGUUUCUAGUAAUUAAACACUUGAAUAAUUUUGAACGAAAGGGAAUACGGUUCCAAUUCCGUAACCUGUUGAGUAUCCGUUUGUUAAAAAUAUGGGCCUUGUGCUCAUCCUGGCAACAGGAACGACCAUAAAGAAGCCGUCGAGAGAUAUCGGAAGAGUUUUCUUUUCUGUUUUAUAGUCGUACUACCAUGGAAGUCUUUCGAAGAGAGAUAUGGUAGAUGGACUAGAAGAGCAUGACAUUUACUGUUGUGUCGAUAUUUUCUCCUCGGACCUUGAAAAUUUAUGGUGGGGUCACGCAAACUUCUCAACAGGCCGUACCAAUAUCCGCAGCUGGUCUCCAAGGUGAAGAGUCUCUAGUC
rnacentral:rRNA from 1 species